ensembl:lncRNA novel transcript
ACUUAGUUAAGAGUAGGCAAAAAUAUAGCUGGCCAGCAAUCUGUGACAGCUGUGGCAGCUGUUGCUCCUGCUUGGGACUGCAGCUGCUGCUGCUGCUCUAGGCUGCUCUGUUUAUGGGACAGCACUGCUCUGCCUAUGGAGUGGCCACCUUGCUGUACACUGCUGCUCUGGGCCACUCUGUCUACGGGUUAGCCCUGCUCUGCCUACGGGUUAGCCCUGCUCUGCCUAUGGGUUAGCCCUGCUCUAUGGAGCAGCCAUUGUGAUGUACACUGUUGCUCUAAUAAACUUGCUUUCUUUCACUGUCAG